AGUCGACGGUUGUAGCAAUACAGCAGUGGCAGACGGGUGAGUAACACGUGGGAACCUACCUAGGGGUACGGAAUAACUCAGGGAAACUUGUGCUAAUACCGUAUACGACCUUCGGGUGAAAGAUUUAUCGCCCCUAGAUGGGCCCGCGUUGGAUUAGCUAGUUGGUGGGGUAAAAGCCUACCAAGGCGACGAUCCAUAGCUGGUCUGAGAGGAUGAUCAGCCACACUGGGACUGAGACACGGCCCAGACUCCUACGGGAGGCAGCAGUAGGGAAUCUUGGACAAUGGGCGAAAGCCUGAUCCAGCCAUGCCGCGUGAGUGAUGAAGGCCUUAGGGUUGUAAAGCUCUUUCGCCAGGGAAGAUAAUGACGGUACCUGGAUAAGAAGCCCCGGCAAACUUCGUGCCAGCAGCCGCGGUAAUACGAAGGGGGCUAGCGUUGUUCGGAAUUACUGGGCGUAAAGCGCACGUAGGCGGUUUUCCAAGUUGGAGGUGAAAUCCCUGGGCUCAACCCGGGAACUGCCUCCAAAACUGGAUGACUCGAGUCCGAGAGAGGUGAGUGGAAUUUCCAGUGUAGAGGUGAAAUUCGUAGAUAUUGGAAAGAACACCAGUGGCGAAGGCGGCUCACUGGCUCGGUACUGACGCUGAGGUGCG
rnacentral:rRNA from 1 species